UACGAAGGGGGCUAGCGUUGCUCGGAAUUACUGGGCGUAAAGCGCACGUAGGCGGCUUUCUAAGUCGGGGGUGAAAUCCUGGAGCUCAACUCCAGAACUGCCUUCGAUACUGGAAAGCUCGAGUCCGGGAGAGGUGAGUGGAACUGCGAGUGUAGAGGUGAAAUUCGUAGAUAUUCGCAAGAACACCAGUGGCGAAGGCGGCUCACUGGCCCCGGUACUGACGCUGAGGUGCGAAAGCGUGGGGAGCAAACAGG
rnacentral:rRNA from 1 species